ensembl:snRNA U6 U6 spliceosomal RNA
GUGCUCACUUGGGCAACACAUACACUAAAACUGGAACGAUACAGAGAAGAUUAGCCUGGCCCCUGCACAGGGAUGCCAUGCAAAUCCGUGAACCACUGCAUAUUUUU